UUAUUUGGGUAAAGUUUUAGAUAAUUAAUCUUCAUUUGAGAGUUACCGAAGUCUUUCUUCUUGGCUUUUUGUAAACAUUCAAGAUACUCAAAGGCAAAUGAUUAAUGAACGUUUUACUCAACGAGGCAACAAGCCAAGAGAGAGACAUCUUUCUGGACCAUUAAGGCUACUCUAGCCAUUGGAUGAUGACAUCAUUAGCACAUUGUCUUUGAAUAGGUGGGAUAAGGGAACUCCAAUGGUUGUGAUGGUGAGAUGGAUGGUUGCUUAGGAGAACAGUAAACAUAUAUAUACAUGUAUACAUAUAUGUAUGCAUGUGUAUAUGUAUGUAUAUGUGUAUAUAUGU
rnacentral:lncRNA from 1 species